UGCAGUCGAGCGGAUGAAGAAGAAGCUUGCUUCUUCUGAUUUUAGCGGCGGACGGGUGAGUAACACGUGGGCAACCUACCUUGUAGAUUGGGAUAACUCCGGGAAACCGGGGCUAAUACCGAAUAAUCCAUUUUGCUUCAUGGCGAAAUGUUAAAAGGCGGCUUCGGCUGUCACUGCAAGAUGGGCCCGCGGCGCAUUAGCUAGUUGGUAAGGUAACGGCUUACCAAGGCGACGAUGCGUAGCCGACCUGAGAGGGUGAUCGGCCACACUGGGACUGAGACACGGCCCAGACUCCUACGGGAGGCAGCAGUAGGGAAUCUUCCACAAUGGACGAAAGUCUGAUGGAGCAACGCCGCGUGAGUGAAGAAGGUUUUCGGAUCGUAAAACUCUGUUGUAAGGGAAGAACACGUACGAGAGUAACUGCUCGUACCUUGACGGUACCUUAUUAGAAAGCCACGGCUAACUACGUGCCAGCAGCCGCGGUAAUACGUAGGUGGCAAGCGUUGUCCGGAAUUAUUGGGCGUAAAGCGCGCGCAGGCGGUCCUUUAAGUCUGAUGUGAAAGCCCACGGCUCAACCGUGGAGGGUCAUUGGAAACUGGGGGACUUGAGUACAGAAGAGGAAAGCGGAAUUCCAAGUGUAGCGGUGAAAUGCGUAGAGAUUUGGAGGAACACCAGUGGCGAAGGCGGCUUUCUGGUCUGUAACUGACGCUGAGGCGCGAAAGCGUGGGGGAGCAAACAGGAUUAGAUACCCUGGUAGUCCACGCCCGUAAACGAUGAGUGCUAAGUGUUAGGGGGGUUUCCGCCCCUUAGUGCUGC
rnacentral:rRNA from 1 species